AACAGGAACUCACUUUUUUUUGCCUGCUGAGAUGCUAAGGAGGGACUCUCUGUGUAUCCCAGGCCAGCUUUGAAUUCUCAGUCCUCCUCCAGCACCAGCUUCCUUUGUGCUGAUUCCUAGACUAUUCCACAACACCUGGUCCGUCUGUUUUUCUCUAAGAAAGACCCUCGGGAUCAUAUGAGCCUCAGAAGUCACAAAAACCGAAUAUGCCAUGGAUGAAUAUGUAGAGAUUCGAGCUAGAAAUUUUCGAGCAGCUUCCACUGAUAAACAGUUGUGCACCAACAGCCCGGAGAUGUCUAGCUGCACCCUAAUCCACGACUGUUUAACUGUGUCACCUGUAUCCGCUGCUUUUCUCAUUGUGGCGAAAACUUCCUGAUGAAAGCAGCUUAGGGAAGGAAGGAUUUAUUCUGGCUCACAACUCAAGGUUCCAGUUCAUCCUGGAGAGAAAGACAUGACGGCGGGAGUCUGAGGCAGCUGCUCACACGGCACCACAAUGGGGAAGCACAGAGAGGUGAUGGCCACUGUUCAGCUCCAUUCCUUUCAGUCAGUCCAGGACCCCAGCUCAUGGACUGGCACUGCCUAUAUUUCAAGUGAGUCUUUGUGUUUUUUCUGGAAAGACUCUCACAGAUACAUCCAGAGGUGUGUUUCCAUGUUGAUUUUAAAUCCUAGGCAAACUGGCAAUCAAAGUUGCCAUUAUGUCACCCCGACACAAGUAAAAGGAUCUUGUUGUGGAAUAAUCUUUUUGUACACUAUGAAGAUGUGUCUCUCUGAUUGGUUCAAUAAAAAAGCUGAACAUCGAAAAGCUAGGCAGGAUUUCUAGGCACAGAGGACGCUGGGAAGAAGGGUGGAGACACCAGGAGAUGGAGAGCAAGCUGAAUGGGCAGUACGGAGAUGUGGUAAUAAAGCCAGGAGACAGAAAGUAAAUUAAUAGAAGUGGGUUAAUUUAAGUUAUAUGAGCUAAUUAGAAACAUACCUAAGCUAUUGGCUGAGCUUUCGUAAUUAAAAAUAAGUCUCAUUAUUGUGUCAUUAUUGGAGAGCCGAUGGUUCCAACGAAAAAGUCCAACAACA
rnacentral:lncRNA from 1 species